rnacentral:rRNA from 1 species
GACGAACGCUGGCGGCGCGCCUAACACAUGCAAGUCGAACGGAGAAAUGCUAAGCUUGCUUUGCAUUUCUUAGUGGCGAACGGGUGAGUAACGCGUAAACAACCUGCCCAACGGAUGGGGACAACAGACGGAAACGACUGCUAAUACCCAAUAGACUCCGGUUUCGCAUGAAACCGACAGGAAAGGUGGCCUCUCGAAGAAGCUACCGCCGCAGGAGGGGUUUGCGUUUGAUUAGUUAGUUGGUGGGGUAACGGCCUACCAAGACGAUGAUCAAUAGCCGGUCUGAGAGGAUGAACGGCCACACUGGGAACUGAGGACACGGUCCAGACUCCUACGGGAGGCAGCAGUGGGGAAUCGUUCCGCAAUGGACGCAAGUCUGACGGGAGCAACGCCGCGUGAGUGAAGACGGCCUU